AUACCCGCAGCCCAAGUGGUGGUCGAUUUUAUUGAGUCUAAAACGUUCGUAGCCGGUUCAUUAAAUCCUUGGGUAAAUCGGAUGGCUUAACUAUCCGGAUUCCGGGGAGACUGGUGAACUUGGGACCGGGAGAGGCAAGAGGUACUUUUGGGGUAGGGGUAAAAUCCUGUAAUCCUAAAAGGACCACCGGUGGCGAAGGCGUCUUGCUAGAACGGAUCCGACGGUGAGGGACGAAGCCCUGGGUCGCAAACGGGAUUAGAUACCCCGGUAGUCCAGGGUGUAAACGCUGCAGACUUGGUGUUGGGGACCCUUCGGGGGUGUUCAGUGCCGGAGAGAAGUUGUUAAGUCUGCUACUUGGGGAGUACGUCCGCAAGGAUGAAACUUAAAGGAAUUGACGGGG
rnacentral:rRNA from 1 species